CGCCCCCUCCAAAAAAAAAAAGUUUGCAGCACUGGCGGCGAUUUCGGCGUAACGUUAUUUGCUUUAGCAGUUCUUUGAUGCACGUUCGAGUCAUUUACAACCAAAGCAUUGUUCCUGCUGGAAAAUUUGGUAUCCCACGUUUUCUGGCAAGACAGUGCAAGCAUGGGUGAAGACGAUGAUGGCAUUCGCCACCUACGGAGCCUACGAAAGAUGCUCUACAUCCAGAAGGAUGAAGCUUAUGCCCAAAUCAAGCAGGAAGUGGCUGACCUGCAGCAGAAGCUCUUGAAACAACUUGACACUGCCUUCGAGAUAAAGCUGGUCGAGCUGAAGAAGUUGGAAGAAAAGGUCCAAUCUUGUAGCCUUUCUCUGAAUCCCCUGCAUUUCUUCAGCUCUAUAGCGGUCAAGUCGCUACUCAGUCUAGAUUGCCUCAAAGUGAGCGACUUCGAGUGCACUUCUUUUGCUUACAUCAACGCCUGCGAAGCGAAGCCGGACCAGUUGCACUUCGUUGAUGAUUACAGUGCUCGUGUUCGCAACACAGGCGACACAGUGAGGGUUUACUACAUGUGUAGCUUGGACUACGACCCAGUACUCUUCAAGUUCCUCACCGUCUUCGUGAAGGACGCGGCCAACAACGACAUUAGCCUCAAGCACUGCGACCUUGGGAAUGGCUGCUACAUGCUGGAAUUUAGGGCAUGCGAAGAAGGUUCCUUCCUUGUUUGUGUCAAGGUAUACGGUCAGAACAUCAGCGGAAGCCCCGUUGUCAUCAGUAUUCAAAACGGGGAUUCCGUGUUGCUGCCUGAACUCUCUCGGUCCGACAUUCAAGGCGACGACUCCGGGUUCCCGUUUGAACUCACUCAGUCUGGCAUGGAAGUUACCUUGCCCGAGCUCUCUCAGUCUUGUGGGGAAGUAACCUUGCCCAAACUUUCUCGAUCUUGUGUAAAGAGAAGGAUGGCCAGGAAAGGGAAGUCGGCACUUGAUCACGAGAAGGUGGCGCAAGGUCAGGAGGAAGCUUUCGUUCAGCCGCAACACUUUUAUGACACGAAGCUCUCAAUAAUUCAGCAACCAGAGGCUGAGGAGGAAGUACAUACUCACGGUCAGCCAGCACAGAUGACAACGGUGAAGCAGGUAACGUUACCUGAAGUACGAGGAGCCUGCAACUCGGAAGUGGCUACAGUAGGGUCACCUGUCGAAAGUACAAACUCUUUCAAACUGACUUCUACGCCUGUACCGUCCUGUAACAUGGAGCUCUCUGGUCGGCGUACUCUCUCUUUUUCUAGUGAAGCAACUUUGUCAGUUUCGGACGGAGUUGCACAGGAGAACGUGAUCAGGAGCCCCAGAGCGAAAUCUUUCACCAAACUUUCAGGCACUGUGAGUGCAGAUCUCGUUCUGGAGUUCAAGGCAUACAGCAAAAAUGACUACCUGAACUUCCCGAUUGGUGUCACCGCCACUAGCGGGGGAAACAUCAUUGUGGGUGACACCGGGAAUCACAGAGUCAUCGUAUUUAAUGCCGAAGGAAGACCCCUGUUUAAGGCUGCACUGCCUGGAACCGUACGCUUCAGGCGCCCCUCGGCGGUUGUUGCCCUGGACGACGGCAGCUUUGCAGUGAAGGACGACAGGUGUGUCUACCUGUUCUCCAAAGCGGGAGAGUACAUACGGACCUUGGGCAAGGACAGCUUGGUGCGACCCUUUGGCCUGGCCGCUCGCGGAGGAAAUGAGCUGGUGACCCUGUCCCUCGCCACCCCCCGCCAAGCUAUGGCGUUUUAGUGCAACCGGUGACUUCGAGGCCUCCGCGGUGUACUCUCCGCUCCAGCCUGCCGCUCCGGCCGGCUCCAAGUGCAGGUUUCUCGACGUUCACGGAGACUUCGCAUUUGUGGCAGAUCUCGGGCUAAGCCACAUGUACAAGACCAACAUGAACGGUGAGGGGACCAGCAUAUUUGGCAAGAAGGGCAAAGAACCAGGUGCCUUUUGCGAACCUUCCGGAAUCUCUGCAUCCGAUAAGGGCCUCUUCAUAGGGGACAGCAAGAACAACCGCAUUCAGGUGUUUGACUUCGAUGGAAACUUCAUCAAUGUGCUGAAGCUGUCUUCGCGCAUCACCCGGCCUUCAGGAAUCCACGUCUCUGACGCCAACAACAAGCUCUACGUCCUCAAUUACCUGCACGGUGUCGUUGGAGUUUACAAUCUCGUAUUUAAAAGAACCAAGACGUAAGUCGCUGCAUAGAGUGCAGAGUUUGAACAGGGUACCUUUCUUUUAAUCAGGGAGAUGUUCAUCGAAAGCCAGGCUUAGCAGUCGGCUCUUGAUAUAUACAGCAUUGUACCAGUACUUCAUCCUAGGUGCGGAUUGGGAAUCAUAUUGCAGUGUUCAAGGUGUAUGUGCCUCAAGAUUAUUUAAGUGGUUCAUCAUGUUUUCCGUGAAACUUUGCAAAUUUUUGCAAACUUUGUGAUGUGAUAUUUUUACGAAAUUUAAUAGAAGUUAUAUAAUGUUCAAUCACACAAUGGAGCUAAAUAAUUGACAAUUUUCUGUCGAUUAUGUUGUAACUUAUUAGUUCUUAGAUGUUUUAAAUAUGUGCAAUAACCAUUUUGAACAACGAGUCGUGGCCUGUGCAAAGUAAUAGACGCUUUCUGAAAUUGAAGGAUGCAUACAUUAUGCACAGCCGCCUUCAGUUGGUCUCAUCGCUUCCGGCGUAAAGCCCACGAUUGCUUGUGAGUCUGCGCCAAGCACUAACUCGGCACUUGUGUGGAAUGCGUUGCAAUCCGAGCACACACCGAACGCUGAUGAAGCGCUCGUGUCCAAUCCGUGCUCAUAGUGCAUGACCAAGCGGCCGCACAUGAUCUAUGCAUCAUUUUGGAAUUUCGAAAAGGGUCUAUACUACAGUCAGUUACAGGUUAAAAAAAGAUUUUGAGGGAAAGUAAGGAUGGGGAGCCGGAAUCAGACUAAAUGCUGAAGAGAGGAGGAGGUUUCCUCCUCUUUUCUCCAGCACUCUGCCUGCUUCCUCCUCAUCAAAUUUCCUUUCCCUCGAAAACUUUUCGUAAGCUGUGACUGACUAUUGUGUACUAGUAUAUUAAUUUUGGGCUCUGUCGACCUUAUAUUGUCUACGUCAACAUUACUAUGUCAACAUUUGGCUAUGUCAACAUUACUAUAACUUUUUUGUCGAGUCAUCUUAGUCACCAUCUAUGUUCAGCUCCUAUCAAGUCAAGGAGCAAAUAAAUUUCCUUUUGCUUUUGAACA